UACCGAGGAAUUAUAUGCUUAUGAAACUCAGCCCCAGACAAAGAGUUGAAUUGGUUUUCUUUCCCAUCUUAUGUCUGCUACCAAACUGUAGAUGAAGUAACGGAGAUACCUUAUAAUGGUCAAGCGUACCAUGAUCUUUUCACCUUGAGUGCGGGAAUAACUAAAUCUAUUGCCAUGUUAGAAGGAUUUCGCUCCAUAUGAACCCGAAGCUAUGCAAUUAUUUUUUCAGAUUAGAAAAAGAACUGAGCAGAAACAUAGAAUGCAGGAAAUUGAAAUUGGUAAUAUUCAUACUUGAUCUUUUGGGCAGUGUUGUUGAGUCCAGGCAAAAUGUAAUUACUCGCCUUCAUCUUCUUGCAUAAAGAUGAAGUCUCCAGCUUCUUGAUUACUUUAGGCCCAAUCCUCAGUUCUUCUACAACUACCAAUGCCAGCUAAUAGGAGUUCAAGAAGCUUCUUAGCUGAAGGCAUAUUAUAAGUUCGCUCAAUUUUUUCAAUCCCUCAUCCAGCUUUCUUUUCUCUUGCAGCAGAAGCUAUAAAAUAACAGGGCAGAAAGGAAACCAUCAAAGGACAAAAUAUGUCAGUAACAAUCCAAAGAAUAGGCACCAAAUGAAAAUGAAAUCAAAGAACUUCAUUAAAGAAUAUACGAAAUCAGGUAAAAAUGAAAUAAAAAGACAAAUGAAAAAUCAGUUGAUUUAAAUGCACAGAUUACCGAAUAAUCUCAUAGUUACUAUAAAGAUCUCAUAAAAUAGAAUGCUUUAAAUAAAAGACCAUGUUCCAUCCCCACUCUAUAAACCUUGAUGUCAGAGCGUUAAAAAUUUAAAUUAGCUCAAAAAGUAAUUUUUCGGUUACAAGACCCUUCUAUUAACAUGUAGCAGC